UUAGAGUUUGAUCCUGGCUCAGGACGAACGCUGGCGGCGUGCUUAACACAUGCAAGUCGAACGAUGAAGCCCAGCUUGCUGGGUGGAUUAGUGGCGAACGGGUGAGUAAUACGUGAGUAACCUGCCUUUAACUCUGGGAUAAGCCUUGGAAACGGGGUCUAAUACUGGAUACGACCAACCCUCGCAUGGGGUGUUGGUGGAAAGGGAUUUUGUACUGGUUUUAGAUGGGCUCACGGCCUAUCAGCUCGUUGGUGAGGUAACGGCUCACCAAGGCGACGACGGGUAGCCGGCCUGAGAGGGUGACCGGCCACACUGGGACUGAGACACGGCCCAGACUCCUACGGGAGGCAGCAGUGGGGAAUAUUGCACAAUGGGCGCAAGCCUGAUGCAGCGACGCCGCGUGAGGGAUGACGGCCUUCGGGUUGUAACCUCUUUCAGCAGGGGAGAAGCGAAAGUGACGGUACCUGCAGAAGAAGCGCCGGCUAACUACGUGCCAGCAGCCGCGGUAAUACGUAGGGCGCGAGCGUUGUCCGGAAUUAUUGGGCGUAAAGAGCUUGUAGGCGGUUUGUCGCGUCUGCUGUGAAAGCCCGGGGCUUAACCCCGGGUUUGCAGUGGGUACGGGCAGACUAGAGUGCAGUAGGGGAGACUGGAAUUCCUGGUGUAGCGGUGAAAUGCGCAGAUAUCAGGAGGAACACCAAUGGCGAAGGCAGGUCUCUGGGCUGUAACUGACGCUGAGAAGCGAAAGCAUGGGGAGCAAACAGGAUUAGAUACCCUGGUAGUCCAUGCCGUAAACGUUGGGCACUAGGUGUGGGGAACAUUCCACGUUUUCCGCGCCGUAGCUAACGCAUUAAGUGCCCCGCCUGGGGAGUACGGCCGCAAGGCUAAAACUCAAAGAAAUUGACGGGGGCCCGCACAAGCGGCGGAGCAUGCGGAUUAAUUCGAUGCAACGCGAAGAACCUUACCAAGGCUUGACAUAUACUAGACCGCCUCAGAGAUGGGGUUUCCCUUCGGGGCUGGUAUACAGGUGGUGCAUGGUUGUCGUCAGCUCGUGUCGUGAGAUGUUGGGUUAAGUCCCGCAACGAGCGCAACCCUCGUUCUAUGUUGCCAGCACGUAAUGGUGGGGACUCAUAGGAGACUGCCGGGGUUAACUCGGAGGAAGGUGGGGAUGACGUCAAAUCAUCAUGCCCCUUAUGUCUUGGGCUUCACGCAUGCUACAAUGGCCGGUACAAAGGGUUGCGAUACUGUGAGGUUGAGCUAAUCCCAAAAAGCCGGUCUCAGUUCGGAUUGGGGUCUGCAACUCGACCCCAUGAAGUCGGAGUCGCUAGUAAUCGCAGAUCAGCAACGCUGCGGUGAAUACGUUCCCGGGCCUUGUACACACCGCCCGUCAAGUCACGAAAGUUGGUAACACCCGAAGCCGAUGGCCUAACCCCUUGUGGGAGGGAGUCGUCGAAGGUGGGACUGGCGAUUGGGACUAAGUCGUAACAAGGUAACC
rnacentral:rRNA from 1 species